AUUGAACGCUGGCGGCAUGCUUUACACAUGCAAGUCGAACGGUAACAGGGAGCUUGCUCCGCUGACGAGUGGCGAACGGGUGAGUAAUGCAUCGGAACGUACCCAGUCGUGGGGGAUAACGUAGCGAAAGUUACGCUAAUACCGCAUACGUCCUGAGGGAGAAAGCGGGGGACCGUAAGGCCUCGCGCGAUUGGAGCGGCCGAUGUCGGAUUAGCUAGUUGGUAGGGUAAAGGCCUACCAAGGCGACGAUCCGUAGCGGGUCUGAGAGGAUGAUCCGCCACACUGGGACUGAGACACGGCCCAGACUCCUACGGGAGGCAGCAGUGGGGAAUUUUGGACAAUGGGCGAAAGCCUGAUCCAGCCAUGCCGCGUGAGUGAAGAAGGCCUCGGUGUAAGACUCUUCAGGUGGAAGAAAACGACGAUAGGUUAAUAACCUU
rnacentral:rRNA from 1 species